UACAGAGGAUGCAAGCGUUAUCCGGAAUGAUUGGGCGUAAAGCGUCUGUAGGUGGCUUUUUAAGUCCGCCGUCAAAUCCCAGGGCUCAACCUCGGACAGGCGGUGGAAACUACCAAGCUGGAGUACGGUAGGGGCAGGAGGGAAUUUCCGGUGGAGCGGUGAAAUGCGUAGAGAUCGGAAAGAACACCAACGGCGAAAGCACUCUGCUGGGCCGACACUGACACUGAGAGACGAAAGCUAGGGGAGCGAAUGGGAUUAGAACCCUCCGAGUCA
rnacentral:rRNA from 1 species